CCUACGGGAGGCAGCAGUGAGGAAUAUUGGUCAAUGGACGAGAGUCUGAACCAGCCAAGUAGCGUGAAGGAUGACUGCCCUAUGGGUUGUAAACUUCUUUUAUAUGGGAAUAAAAUGUUCCACGUGUGGGAUUUUGUAUGUACCAUAUGAAUAAGGAUCGGCUAACUCCGUGCCAGCAGCCGCGGUAAUACGGAGGAUCCGAGGUUUAUCCGGAUUUAUUGGGUUGAAAGGGAGAGUAGGUGGAUUGUUAAGCCAGUUGUGAAAGUUUCCGGCUCAACCGUAAAAUUGCAGUUGAAACUGGCAGUCUUGAGUACAGUAGAGGUGGGCGGAAGUCGUGGUGUAGCGGUGAAAUGCUUAGAGAUCACGAAGAACUCCGAUUGCGAAGGCAGUUCACUGGACUGCAACUGACACUGAGGCUCGAAAGUGUGGGUAUCAAACAGGAUUAGAUACCCUUGUAGUC
rnacentral:rRNA from 1 species